UAACUAGGUAGACAGUGUCAGCUGGAGUCUGGGGAGGAUCCCCACGAGGGCAGAGGUAGUCCCUGCCCCUCAAGACACCAGGACCUGGAGGGGGGAGUCCCAGUGAGAGGGCAGGUAAGCCCACCCUGCAGACUGCUCCCCAAAGGCAGGCAUGGCUGGGAGAGAGAAAUGGGGGUCCCCCUCUUGAAGCAGGUCUGUCUGCAAGGGCACAGGGACCAGGGGCUGCUGGGCCCCUGUGUGCCAAGAGUAGGAACAGCAGAUGCCUGGGCAGGAGCUAAGCCUCGCGGGGUGGGGGGUGUUGGGGGUGGGCAUGGAGGAGGCCAGGCUCCGUCACAGUGAGGUUGGGCAGCCGGGGGUGGGGUGGGGACACAGCUGGUGGGUCCAGUGGAUCAAUAAAUUAGAGGCAACAGAGUGACUCUUGGGGUCUAGCUGGGGACACGGGAGAGUUUGGGCUGUGCAAAGGGCCAGUCUGUGCAUGAACGCUGGCAGUCUUGCUGUGUGUGGCACGUAGGGGAGUGCGUGGCAGGAGGAUCUGGGCGCAGACCCCUGUAGCUGGAGCUGAGCGGGGGUCGGAGGGCAGGGCAGGGGUGGCAGCUGGGGAGCCCCAGGAGUGGAGAGGAGUGGACAUCAUGAGUGACCAGCGUGGCAGAGAGGAUCGGCCAACAAGGACCAAGAAAAGGCCAUUCUGCUGCCUCCAGUAAUUUCCAAAUGAGCAGGUGGGUCAACCCCGUCAUUUCCAGCUAAUCUCUCCUCGUAUAGGAUUUAGGCUCUCCCGACAGUCUCCAUGGAAUCCUCUGGACAGCUCUAGGAGAUGCGUACCCAUUCCACAGGUCAGGAAGCUGAAGCACGGAGCUGUCAGGCAACAUGCCUGAGCCUCAAGUGGAACAGCUUGCUGGAGCCCAGCGGGGCUCAGAGACCGGGUUCUUUCUCGGGGCCGCCUACCUUGUGAAUGUCCCUGAUCUUGCGUCGUAGCUCUGUCUGCUGGUGGUGGAAGUCCGUCCGGCAGCUGCCCGUGCCUGACCUGGGUGUACGGGGCAGGGGGGCCGUGAGGGAGCGCGUCCAGCGCCACCUCUGCUGACUCGGCGGAGCCCUGACUGGCAGGGGACCAGCAAGGGGGAUGUGCCCGAGAUCGGAGGGCUCCGGAGCCAUCCCCUGCUGGUCAGAAAGAGUUGAAGGUCCAUGUAAAGAGUGCACCGACAAGGGGAGAACUAGAAACUGGCAGAGGCCGGGGGGUUGGGAGACGGAGGACCGCCACGCGCAGCCUGGGUGCGAUUCCGGAGCAGAAAACGGACGGUAGCCAAGAAAGGGGGGACACCUGUGCCAGCGUUGAUUUCUUAGUCGUGGUUUUGGGAGACGGGGACGGGAAGGGUCUGUGGGACCAGGCCUGGGGCCCGGGUUGUCGCGGAGGCUGACUGUAAGGGCCACGUGAGGCCUUUCUCGGGUGUUAGGAGGGUUCCGUCUCGGUCGUGGGGACAGAGACAUGGGCCCGAGCUAAACCCGUCCAGCCGGACAUUAAAAAUAAAUUCAUCUCCUUGUGUGUACGUCAGUGAAGCCGGUUCAGAAUAAAAAAGGAUACACAGGCAGGAACCCCCAGGCCAAGGGUGGUGGGAGACCUAGCCCACCGGGGUUUAAGUGUGGCAGCGGCUUUGCGCUCUGCAGGGGCGGGGGCCCAGGGCGGGGCCGGCGCGGAUGGGCUGUCGGCAGCGCGGCGUCGGCUGGGGAGCAAGCCCAGACGAGGUGGGAAUGCCAGCGAGACUCACACCCCAGCUGAGAGAGCAGCCAGGGGCCCCUGCUUCACGCCGUGUCCACAAAUUAAUUCCAGGUGGAUUCAGGAUUUCAAGAUGUGCAAACACGUGCAGAGGACUUGGGAACAUAUUUGUGUCAUUUCAAGCUGCGGUGGCCGUCGAGAGCAAUCCGGGAAACCCAGAAGCCGCGCAGACGGCAGACACGCCUCACAGCAUGAACCCCAACGACCCCGUGAGUGGGGAGAGACCCGGAGCAGAGGGAGAACAUGUGGGGCGGGGGCCCAAGGCGGGGCUUAGUCACGGUGACAUGCCCAAACUCCCCCGAGUUGCCAAGAAGUAAGAAAAUGGAAAUAGGAAAUUGAGGAAGUACUCCCCACAUGCACACGCACACACACCCACACACACACCCGCUCAAUAACCCAUAACAGAAAACAGGUAAGUACGAAGCUCCUGGAAGAAAAUAUAAGAGAAAAACCCCUGUGACCGUGGGCCAAGCUCUGAUUUCUUAGAUGCACCACCGCAAGAUGCACAGAGAACAGAGCCGGGCCUCACCGACGUGAGGGGCCUCGGAUGCAUUCUGGGGUGUGCGAAAAGCCGCACUCGAGAUAGUAGUUCACGCUGCACCGUCUGCGUCUGUGACAUCCUGGGAGAGUCGGGGACUGGGGCGCGGGACGCAGAGUGCAGGGGGCACGCGGGGACCCGCGGGCGAUGGAGAUACUGCAUGUCACGAAGGGGGUGGUUAUGUGGUUAUACAUUUUUGUCACAGCGCACGGGACCGUGCCACCGGGGACGAGCUUGGUUAAACGCCUCAAUCUGAAAAUAAAGCCUUGUGGGCUGAUGACACCCCAGGGUGCCCAGGCUGUCGGGACGUGGCUGUCGCGGAUCACCUCUUGGAAAAAUGAUCUGAGGGGCUCUGGUCAAGACUGUACACGCCUCCGCCCUGUAAUCCCACUUUGGGGAGUCUGACCUGCAGUAAACCCCAGCAAGAAAAGACGGGACGGCCAGCACGGGGAACCGGGACACUGGAUUCUCACCAACCCGGGAUGCUCCAAGAAGUUAGGACACAUACGCAGGACAUUGUGUAACUGUUAAAAACUGGGCUAAUGUCCGUAUUUUUUUGAAAAAUAAGUUGCCAAGCUAGACGUGCAGAUCCCAUUUUGCCGCACGUCAUGGGCACGGGGGUGGGGGGCACGCCCGUGUGCGCAAGCGCAAGCCCUUGGUGUGUGUGUGUGUGUGUGUGUGUGUGUGUGUGUGCGUGUGUGUGUCUGACCUGCGGCAGCCAACGCAUGUGGCUUCCAGGGUCUGAAAAGUCAGUUAAAUGGAGCAUUUUAAAAACUUAUCAGUAGCAUAUGCAUUUGAUCAGCAUUCCUGGGAAUGCCGCAGGCAGAGGGGUCCUGGUUGAAAGCGGCUUUGUGGGAGUGAUGCCCGCCUGCUUUUACUACCUUCCUUGCUUAUCCUAGGGCCCCGAUUUAAUCACCAGCUGUUUUUGAGGGAAUGAAAUCCAGCUCAGGAGGACGGUGGAGAGAACUCGAGGCUCCCACGGAAAAGAUGGGCGUGUUGUCUGAACACAUUACCAGGCGAGACCCCUUUCCCCCAGUGGGAUGUCUCUCCCCAGUGGGCCGUGAGGUUCAGGGGCCCACCCGCCCUCAGAAUCAUCAGAGUGCCCGGGCUGCGUGGGGCAAGGGUACAAGUGUGUCUCGCUUAACACCGCGCACAGGGCUGUGGGUCUUGCGGAGUCUGUGAUCCUCUCCAUGUGAGAAGAACCAAAGUGGACGGACCUUGGCUGGGAGGUCAGCAAGGGAGCAGCCCGGAGUGCUUGCCCUUUGCCCUUCGCUGGGGACGGUGUCCAUGCCACUGGCCAGGGUGGCCCGUGUGGUCCCGGGGGUCCACCUGGUUCCCAGGCCCCCAGAGGCCCACCUACCUUCAUCCUGUGGAUCUCCGCCUUCAUGGCUCGGAUCUCUGUCUGGCCGGUCUCGGAAUCCACCGAUGCCCGCAUCUCUUUUGCCAGCUGGAUUUUUUUCUCCCAAAGCAUGAUCUGGUGUCUUUAAAAGUGGGAGAGGCAGUGUGAGAGUGGGAGACAUUGAGGAGAUUUCUUUCUGAUGCUUCUGUGAGCUCAUGACCUAAGGGCUUGCUCCAAAUUGAGACCUGCAGUGGACGGCCGGAAGGCAGGGGUCAACAUAAACCCCCGGGGCCAAGGCGCUCUCUCAGAUUCCUGCCCACACAACCCAGAGCAAAGGGGGCUCUCCCUCCCUGGUCUGCGGUGCUGUCGUGGCGUCACGUGCAGACACAGCUACGCCACACCUGAAGCCACUGCACCUCUGUGUGCUAAGGAUACUUCGGUUAAAAGGAGAAGUUCACAUAGCAGCAAAGACGCACGCUCACCACCUGGCUUCGAUGUUUGUGCCCCUCUCCAUGACACCCAGCACGAUGGUGUUUGGAGGUGGCCUCCCUGGGAGGUGCUAUGUCACCAGGUGCAGCCUCAUGAAAGGGGUCAGCGCCCUUAGAGAAGAGACCCCACAGAGCACCCUCGGGGACACAGCCAGAAGCCCAGUAUCCAGAAGACGCCCUCACUCAUCCAACCCAACCCCCUGACCUUGGACUUCCAGCCUCCACAAUGCUGACCGACGACGUUUAUAAGCCCUGGCCAGAGCUGUUACCUCGGCCUGGACGGGCAGCGGGCUCAACCCAGCUGGAAGGAGUGCGCGUGUGGGCUUUGACCUGGCCUGGCGGGGCUGACUCAGCAGCCGGUCCCACGGGAAAUGUGGAUCCACAGAAAAUACAUAAAACUGCUUCAGAGGGCAGCACAGAGAACCCCUUUUUUUGUUUAAAAAGCAA